CAAGUCGAGCGAUGAGGCCCCUUCGGGGGUACUCGAGCGGCGAACGGGUGAAUAACACGUGAGCAACCUGCCCCUGACUCUGGGAUAACCCGGGGAAACUGGCUCUAAUACCGGAUAUGACCUUGCUCCGCUUGGUGUGUUGGUGAAAAUUUUUUCGGGUGGGGAUGGGCUCCCGGCCUAUCACCUUGUUGGUGGGGUGAUGGCCUACCAAGGCGACGACGGGUAACCGGCCUGAGGGGCGACCGGUCACACUGGGACUGACACACCCCCACUUCCUAGGGAGGCAGCAGUGGGGAAUAUUGCACAAUGGGAAAAACCCUGACACAGCCACCCCGCGUGGGAUAUGACGGCCUUCGUUUUGUAAACCUCUUUCAACAGGGAAAAAGCUAACGUGACGGCCCCUGCAAAAAAAGCCCCCGCUAACUACGUGCCCACACCGGGGGAUAAUACA
rnacentral:rRNA from 1 species